AGCGAACGCUGGCGGCAGGCUUAACACAUGCAAGUCGAGCGGGCAUCCUUGUGGUGUCAGCGGCAGACGGGUGAGUAACGCGUGGGAACGUGCCCUUCGGUUCGGAAUAACUCAGGGAAACUUGAGCUAAUACCGGAUACGUGCGAGAGCAGAAAGGUUUAUCUGCCGAAGGAUCGGCCCGCGUCUGAUUAGCUAGUUGGUGAGGUUAUGGCUCACCAAGGCGACGAUCAGUAGCUGGUCUGAGAGGAUGAUCAGCCACACUGGGACUGAGACACGGCCCAGACUCCUACGGGAGGCAGCAGUGGGGAAUAUUGGACAAUGGGGGCAACCCUGAUCCAGCCAUGCCGCGUGAGUGAUGACGGCCUUAGGGUUGUAAAGCUCUUUUCUCCGGGACGAUAAUGACGGUACCGGGGGAAUAAGCCCCGGCUAACUUCGUG
rnacentral:rRNA from 1 species